rnacentral:rRNA from 1 species
GGCGGACGGGUGAGUAACACGUGAGAAUUUGCCUUUAGGAGGGGGAUAACAAUUGGAAACGAUUGCUAAUACCCCAUAUGCUUUCGAGUGAAAUGAAUUAUUUUGCCUGGAGAGAAGCUCGCGGCUGAUUAGCUUGUUGGUAAGGUAAGAGCUUACCAAGGCGACGAUCAGUAUCUGGUUUGAGAGGACGAUCAGACACACUGGAACUGAGACACGGUCCAG